GCCCCGGGCCCGGGGGCGCUCAGGGGGCGCUCGCACGGCGCUCCCGGGCUUUGGAGUGCCGGGGCGCCAAAGGCCCGGUAUUCUCAAGGUGAUACCGUUACUGCUGGAUAGUGUCUAAAUCCUCAGCACAGACGCAAGGCAGGCCCGCUGCUGCUCAACUGGAAAGGCUGUUCGGCUGCUUGCUGAGCAGAGGAGAAACUGAAGUACAGCUAUUAAGGUACUUCAGAAAUUGUAUUGUGGCACUAAUCCCAGGUGGAUUAGGAUGUGCAGGAAGACAAAAAGCAGGGAGAAUUCCAGUGUGACAGAGCAAUUACACUGGGGUGGUCUGGUCUUAUCAAAAGCUCCCAUUGCGAUUUUAAAGCCAGCUCCCUCAGCUAUCAACACAUUUUCUUUUGGGACUCUCACAUCUUCGAAGACAAUACCUCUUGUAUCUGAGCAGCGCUGACCCAUAUUCAUUUCCUGAAGUGGAAAUUUACAGAGGUGUUACUUGGAUUAUUCAAAGGUACAAUAUGUUUUCAUUCUUUAGUUUACUCAAAACACAGAGUAUGUUUUUCUUCUCCAAAACACUUAAUCUAAAAAUUACCAUAUACAUGACAAAUACUAGUUUUGUACUUGCAGACCAGCAUACCCUUCAUUUGUCUAAUCUGGGCAGUUUACUUUCUCUUUAUAUGAAAUCAGUUCAGUCUCUGUAACCAGUCUUCUCUAGUUUUCUCUAGUUCUUUCUCUACUUCAACUAUAUCCUUUGAGAUGAAAGUGGAAAAAGAAAACAAUGUAAUGUGCAGGCAGUGCAGAUAUACUACAAGUAAAUAAAUAAAUUAGCUUUUCAAGUUCUUAGAUUCCUUUCCUAAUGUUCAACAUCCAGUUUUACCUAAUAUUAAAAAUAGUACUUUUUUUUAAAGAGAGAACUGGUACUAGUAUCUCUAAGGCCUCUUCUUUGACCAGCAGUAGCUAAAAUUAAAGCUCACUGCCUGUGUAUUUAUGGUUGAUAUUGUCCAACUUGCUUCCUAUCCUUUCAAUGCAUAAUACUUCUCAUUUAUUGGUACUUGCCAGUAUAAUAGUUCUCAAAGAGUCUUUUGCAGCUGUUCAAAGUCAUCUUACUUUGGACCAUUCUGAACAACUCCUUAUCUGAACUAAUAACUUUAAAAUUAUGUUUUAUGAAUAGCUUCUGCAUGUUGUGAAAAUGAAAAGAUGGUUGUAAAUGAGCACAUGAAAAUGUGCAGUUGUGUAACAGUCUUUUCUCUUGAGUGGUACGUUUGUUUCAUUACUGGUUUAGAACCAAACAAUAAUUCCUAACUUGUCAAAUAAGAAAUAGUCUUCACCUUUCUUCCAAUUUGGAUCCCAGGACUAUCUGCUUCCACAAUGAAUCCAGUAAAGGCUUUGCUUGCAGGAGUUUUUGGAUCUGGAUCGGUACGUGCUAGCAAAAAAUACCUAGUGUAAACCAAAGAAGAUGGAUGCAGUUUAUCCUCACAGUUAACAACAAGAUAUAUUUAGGUAAUAUUUUAAAUGUUUUUAUGCAUGUUUAUACCACAUAAUAAAUUCUGAGUGUAAGUUAACAAACUAUAUUCCUUGCCCAUUCUAAAAAUAAACUGAGAGGGAGCCAGAGAGUGGAAGUCUCAAAGAUUCAGUAUUUAAUAACAUUUAAUAAAAUUACUUCAGAUCAACAUGCAAAGAUUCUCUACCCUUUCCAUGUAUUCUAAGUCUUUAUGGUAUUACCAGUUUCACAAAUAGUACAAAAGAAACCUAUUCACAGCAUGUACAUAAAAAUUAAUGCUUAGGAAAUACAUUCUUGGAUGUAAAAUGUUAUCAUCUGAUUUCAGAUGUCUUGAUUUUAUUCUUCUAAGUGUAAAUUGUAAAUAAGUAUUUAUCUUAGAAAUUAAACAGGUGUAAAUCAUAUUUAUGGUAUUCAGUAAUGUCAAAAGAUACCUGGUAGAUUGUCUUUGAUGGAUCUGCCUUCAACGAUGAAGUAAAUUACUAGAAAAUUCAGCUUUUGGAUAAAUGUAUAAAGUUUUUUCCACUUGAAUUAAGGAAAAUUUCUGUGUUGUGAAUCAGUGUGAUAUGAGACAUGAUGUAAGAGGUUUAUAUUGUAAAAGCAUGCUCCACAAACACAACAAUAUUUGGAAUCUCUGACAGAUGAAAAAUGUCUUCUUUUCAUAAAAUAAAAAGUAACACCACAA